rnacentral:rRNA from 1 species
UUAAUAUUAGUUAUGAAAUAUAUUUCAAGAAAUUUUAUAUCUAGUUUUUUAAGAGUUUAAGUAUAAUGAAUAAUUUUUAUAAAAAUUAAUAUGGUUUAGCUUAUUAAUUUUAUAUAUUGAAAUAAUUUUAUAACCUUAGUAAAUUUGAUAGUGUUUAUUUUAUAAAUUUAUAAUGGAGGGUAAUAUGAAUAUAAAUUUUUAUUUAUUAUUGAUUUAUUAAAAAAUUUAUUAAAAUUUAAAAGUUUAAUUUAUAAUGAAAAAAUUAGUAAAAAUUUAUUUAUAUUUUAAAAUAUUUAAUAAGAUAUAUAAUGUUAUAAUUAUUAUAAAAAAUGAAUUCGGCAAAAAUUAUUAUUUGACUGUUUAGCAAAAACAUUGUUUCAUGAAAAAAAAUAUGAAAUAAUGUCUGUCCACUGAUAUAUUUGAAGGACUGCAGUAUAUUGACUGUAUAAAAGUAGCAUAAUCAUUAGCUUUUUAAUUUGGGGUUGGUAUGAAGGCGAAACGGAUAAGUUCUUUAUUUUUUAUAAAUAUUUAAAUUUUAUUUUUAAGUGAAAAAUCUUAAUUAUUUGAGAGGGACAAGAAGACCCUAAUAAGUUUUAUUUUUCUUUUAUUUAUGUUAUAGGAAAUAAAAAUUAGAUAAUAUUAAAUUAGAAAUUUGAUUGGGGCGAUUAGUUAUAAAACAUAAUUAAGUUUUAAUUUUU